GAGUGGAGCCUGCGGCUUAAUUUGACUCAACACGGGAAAACUCACCUGGUCCGGACACUGGAAGGAUUGACAGAUUGAAAGCUCUUUCUUGAUUCAGUGGGUGGUGGUGCAUGGCCGUUCUUAGUUGGUGGAGUGAUUUGUCUGGUUAAUUCCGAUAACGAACGAGACUCUAGCCUGCUAACUAGUUCGCCGACAGCUCGUUGUCGCGCGGCGCCAUUUCGGUGGCAAACUUCUUAGAGGGACAGGUGGCGUAUAGCCACACGAAGUAGAGCAAUAACAGGUCUGUGAUGCCCUUAGAUGUCCAGGGCCGCACGCGCGCUACACUGAAAGAAUCAACGUGGAUGCCCACCUGCUCCGAGAGGAGUGGGAAACCCGAUGAAUCUCUUUCGUGAUGGGGAUUGGGGCUUGUAAUUAUUCCCCAUGAACGAGGAAUUCCCAGUAAGCGUCAGUCAUCAGCUGGCGUUGAUUACGUCCCUGCCCUUUGUACACACCGCCCGUCGCUACUACCGAUUGAAUGGUUUAGUGAGACCCUCGGACUGGAAUCCGUUUGCUGCUUUCGGGUGGCGGACGGGGACGGAAAGACGGAUG
rnacentral:rRNA from 1 species